UUGGAGGGCAAGUCUGGUGCCAGCAGCCGCGGUAAUUCCAGCUCCAAUAGCGUAUAUUAAAGUUGUUGCAGUUAAAAAGCUCGUAGUUGAAUUUCGGGGUUAGUAGGUUGGUCAUGCCUCUGGUAUGCACUGGUCUCACUGAUUCCUCCUUCCUGAUGAGCCGUAAUGCCAUUAAUUUGGUGUUGCGGGGAAUUUGGACUGUUACUUUGAAAAAAUUAGAGUGUUUAAAGCAAGCUAACGCUUGAAUACAUUAGCAUGGAAUAAUGAAAUAGGACGUUCGAUCCUAUUUUGUUGGUUUCUAGGAUUGACGUAAUGAUUAAUAGGGAUAGUUGGGGGCAUUAGUAUUCAAUUGUCAGAGGUGAAAUUCUUGGAUUUAUUGAAGACUAACUACUGCGAAAGCAUUUGCCAAGGAUGUUUUCAUUAAUCAAGAACGAAAGUUAGGGGAUCGAAGACGAUCAGAUACCGUCGUAGUCUUAACCAUAAACUAUGCCGACUAGGGAUCGGAUGAUGUUAAUUUUUUAAUGACUCAUUCGGCGCCUUACGGGAAACCAAAGUGUUUGGGUUC
rnacentral:rRNA from 1 species